GACAGAGGGUGCAAACGUUGUUCGGAAUUACUGGGCGUAAAGCGCGUGUAGGCGGCUAAGUAAGUCGGGCGUGAAAUCCCACGGCUCAACCGUGGAAGUGCACUCGAAACUGCGUAGCUAGAGUCCUGGAGAGGAAGGUGGAAUGCUUGGUGUAGAGGUGAAAUUCGUAGAUAUCAAGUGGAACACCAGUGGCGAAGGCGAGUCUCUGGACAUUUCCUGACGCUGAGGCACGAAAGCCAGGGGAGCAAACGGG
rnacentral:rRNA from 1 species